AUUGAACGCUGGCGGCAGGCCUAAUACAUGCAAGUCGAGCGGACGAAGGGAGCUUUCUCUUGGAUUCAGUGGCGGACGGGCGAGUAAUUCCUAGGAAUCUGCCCGGUAUUUGGGGAUAACGUCCGGACACGGGCGCUAAUAUCGCACACGUCCUUAGGUUGAACGGCGGGGUUCUUCGGUGCUCACGCUAUUUGAUGUCCCUAGGUCGUAUUAGCUAGUUGGCUGGGUAAAGGCCUACCAAGGCGACGAUCCGUAACUGCUCUGAGAGGAUGAUCAGUCACACUGGAACUGAGACACGGUCCAGACUCCUACGGGAGGCAGCAGUAGGGAAUAUUGGACAAUGGGCGAAAGCCUGAUGCAGCCAUGCCGCGUGUGUGAAGAAGGUCUUCGGAUUGUAAAGCACUUUUAGUAGGGAGGAAGAGCAGUAAGUUAAUACCUUGCUGUUUUGACGUUACCAACAGAAUAAGCACCGGCUAACUUCGUG
rnacentral:rRNA from 1 species